rnacentral:rRNA from 1 species
UACAGAGGGGCAAGCGUUAUUCGGAAUUAUUGGGCGUAAAGGGCGCGUAGGCGGCUUGGCAAGUGGAAGGUGAAAUCCCUCGGCUCAACUGAGGAACUGCCUUCCAGACUGCUUUGCUUGAGUCCGGGAGAGGUGAGUGGAAUUCCCAGUGUAGCGGUGAAAUGCGUAGAUAUUGGGAGGAACACCAGUGGCGAAGGCGAGUCUCUGGGAUGAUGCUGACGCUGAGGCGCGAAAGCCAGGGAGCAAACGGG